UGUCAGGUCACGAAACGUUACGUCAGCAGGUUCCCACGCCUGUCCCUUCUUGCAUAUAUUCUUACCUGCUCUGUUUGAUGAGGUGACGUGGGGCAAGGCUUACCCACGACUUGUAUGGCCCUAUCGGGGCAAAGUGAUGGACCUGAACAUUGACUUACCCUUUCACGCCACCCUCGUGCAACAUCUUGCCAUAUGCUUUUCUUAUGAGUACUGACAUCAUUUUUGUUGUUUUCCUUAUCGUAUCGCUGAAUGUGUUCCUGAAAUACGUGUAUGUCUCUCGUUACCCCAUCUUUUUUUAAGCUUUAUCUUAAAGCUCUAAUAAAUCUGUUUCUGAAUAAAUCUGUUUCUGAGAGUGUAAUUCUCCACCCUCAGACGUUGACGAGUGACGAGCCUCUGCAACGCAAAGGCUUCACUCAUGGCCUGAACUCCAUUGUUUCAUAUAAUAGUUUCAGACUUUCUUACAUUGUAUACAGUACAAUACAAAGUCACAACUUGACAGUACUGAAGCAAAUGCCUUUCUUGUGGCAGGAUGAGUUUGUGCAGCUGUGUGGCAUUGAGUGGUGCCGGGAGAAGAAUGUCGGGUGUGUGUGAGCCUCUUUACAUCAGCACUCGAGAGUCAUACUACUGCCAGUGCCGGCAAUGCAGGAUACAGACUCGUGUCAGAAAGUUCAAGUGUGAAGACGUUGACGAGUGCGUGGAGUUGCCCAGAUCCUCUCCCUGUGGACCAUCCCCUAAGCAGUGUCCGAUCCGCCCAGCAGUAGCAACGGUCAUGAGAAGGCGGUCAUUGAAGUGUCAAGUCCCCAAGCUGGCAUGGUGGUGGGUGUUGUGCUGGGCUCCCUUGGGGUUCAUUGCCUAGCUGUUGGGAUGCGUCGACGUGUUAUCAUCCACGCAAGCUUCCCCAACCCAGCCAGUGUACCACAAGACAACAGUCAUUGAGGAGGACGGGACGGCAUUACAUUCUUCCCCCAGUUGUAUGACUACACUGAAGCAAGCCAAGAAUAGAGUGUUGAGUGACCAUGAUGAAUCGGUACUACUAACGCCAAAGAAGUGAGAGAAGUGUUUGGAGUGAGCGUGCAAGACGU
rnacentral:misc_RNA from 1 species